rnacentral:lncRNA from 1 species
AUAUGUCGCGCAUCAAGGAUCUAACGAAACUCGAUAGACAGGUCAAAUCUGGUGACCUAAGUUCACAAACUAUAUAUUUGAAUAAUAUUAAUUUUUCGUCCAAUCAGAAUCCAUCUCUUAAACGAGUUUCGGAACAUCAUUCAAAAUGGCGAGCAAAAGUGACAUAGACGUAGCGAUUGACAAAGUUUUAACUGAUUUCAAAAUUUCCACCCUCAAAG